rnacentral:sRNA from 1 species
ACAUACAAUUAUGAGAGGACUGAUGGAUGAACAAUGAUUAACUAAUCUAUAUUUUUAUUUGAAAUGAAUAACUUCAAACUACAAAAUAUAGGAUUAGUCUGUCCAUUUUAAAUCAAUCAGUUUAUACUUUAUUUGUCCUAAUUUCAAUGGCAAAAAAGAGCUUAUUUAAAGUUAAGUAAAUGACUAAUCCUUCCAAUGAAAAAUUGGGAGGAUUUUUUA